AAAUAAAGAAAAACUGAUAGUUCAAGGUCUCUUAAUGUUAAAAAAUAAAACUUAAAAGGGUCUAGUUCAAAAUGAUCUAUAGGUGAGGGGUUUCUUUAUUUUUUACUCACUAAUAAUUAGUUCUAGAGAUGUUAUUUUUAAAAUUUAGAAGGGUACUUAUAAAAUUGCCCCUUAAUUAUUUGCUAUCAAAACAACACCUAACAUUUUUAGGGCUAAAUUAGUCAUUUUGUUACUUAACCUUUAUUUAACCAAAUUUUAACCAUGGUUAUAAUAACAGCCGUUAGAAGAAAGGAUAGUUUUGAAAAAUUUUUAUAUUUGAAGGGGUAUAUAUGAUAUUUUCAAUUUUGUAGGGGUAUCUACGAUAUUUACAUAUUUGAGAGGGGUAGCAGUGAAAUUGCCCCUUUAUCUAUAACAUCUAUUAAUCCCCGUGGGAUUCAAGCUCUCUCCUUAUUUU
rnacentral:lncRNA from 1 species